rnacentral:lncRNA from 1 species
GAGCAGGAUACCUCUUUUGCUUGCAUGUGUGACAUGUGGUGGGCCUGGACACCUCACACUCCUCCUGAUGUUAUCCAUGACCUCAUCUGCCUCAUGAGGUCAUCCAUGACAUCGCCCUCCAGGCCACCUCACCCCUUUGCAUGCGUGACACGUGGCGGAGCAGGACACCUUUUUUUCUUGCAUGUGUGACAUGUGUCCUGGCAGGACACCUCAUCGGACACCUCACCCUCUUCUUGGCCUAUAAAUAGGCCACCAAUCUUCCUUCUUCUCUACACAUCAAGAGCACUAGAGAAAAAGAGUGAGAGGAGAGAGUAGCUCUGAAAGUGAAAGCCCAAGAAGGAGUUCUUGAGCUGUGAAGGUCCAUCUUCUUCCUUCUUCUACCUUUCAGCCAUCCUGCUGCUUCCCUGCGAGCUAGCACUCUCCGAGAAGUUGAUCAUUCCGGAGCCUCGCGUGGACGAGUCAUCGAGGCCGGACGCUUGUGCGGCUGCGAAGCAUCCUUGAAGGAACCCCCUUCUAAAUGUAAGAGAUAUGAUCUCAAUUACAGUUGAGAUAUGAUCUCAAUCUUCAAAUCACAAGAAGUUGUGAUUUAUGCAUAUUUAUUUGAAUCACAUAAUCCUCGAGAUCUGAGGGCUUUGUGAUAUUUGGUGUCAAAGCAAAGGAUUAGUGGAGACUAUCUAAUUUCUAGAAACUCUUACACGUGAUCGUGUGACGAAGCGUGGCUCUCCACCCGAGGGCUCAUAUGAUGAGUGCUUUGAUAGGCACACGCGGGUGUCACCCUAUGUAUUGGGACUGAGCCCGCGCCACAUGUGAUGUGCAGUUGAAGACUGUCUUCGACUGGUACCAGAGUCAAAAUAUCUAAAAUAUCAAGCAUGUUAUGGGUUAAAAUGUUUAACCCGUUCUUUCCGCAUAAAAUUUUCUGAAAUUCAUGCUUAACCCUCUGCACGCACACUUACAGUGGUAUCAGAGCCUGUCCAGGUUCUUUGUGAUAUCAAAUAUCUAUGCAAGAUGUGAUCUUU